CCGCUGAGUCACUACCCGACUCCCUUAGCAGGUGGAUAGAUCCAAAGUUCAAGGGGAUCUGUCUGGUAGCAGGCACCAGACAACUGGAGACAGGAUAUCUAGGCUGUGUCUCAACAGCAGGCGGUGAAGAUGCCAGACUUCGACUCAAGUCAACAUAUUUGGAGUGGAGCUGAUUUACAUGUUUCUUGUUAAUGGUCUUAGUGUGUGUGUGUGUGUGUGUGUGUGUGUUGCGUGGGGGUGAGAAGUAGGGAGCAGGACUAUUGUGAACAGAAGCUUGAGAGGUGAGGCCCUUGGCCCAACCCACGCUGUGCUUGGCAAAUGUAAUCCCAGGCUAACUAAACCGGAAGUUCUGAUCUAUAGUUAAGGCGUCAAGGAGAUUGUGUGUGUGUGUGUUUGUAAGGCCCCUCCCUGCAAAGAUAAAUAAUAAUGGUCAACAUUUAUGGGUGCUUGCUGUGUCAGUCGCUGUUCUGACUGCUUUGCUUACAGCAGCUCUUGCAAUCCUGGUAACAACUACAUUAGGAGAGGAUAAAUAUUACGCCAACUUUCCAGGUGAGGAUGCUGGCACAGAGAGUUGAAGCCCGAGGUCUCACAGUGAGGAACCCUUUGGGUGGAGAAUAACCCAGGUAGACUGGUUCCCGAGUCCGCUGUCCCCAGCACCACACAAUACUGUCUCUGGGCCUGACUCUGGACUUGAAGUGUGUUGGUGUGUAUUAUUCAUCUUCAUAUACUCAGAACCUAGCACCAUG